UAGCAGCACAUCAUGGAUUGCGGGUGUUGUAGAUGCAAGCCAUGCUGUGCGGCCUUG
rnacentral:pre_miRNA from 1 species